AAUAAAUUUAGGGUUCUCUUUGGAUUUUUGGUCCUUAGACUUUUGUGUCAAAAAUAUCAUUGUUAAAAAAUUCAUCACGUCCUUGACAUGAUGCUCAUAAUUUUGUAUUUAAAAUAUCAAUUACACCCACCGCAUUCACAUAAGGAGACCGAAGGAAAACACUUCACCUCAAAUUUUAGUAUUGUCCGUCAAAACAUAACAUUUCAAAAGGUCAAAUAAAAAAUUCUCCUUUUCGGAAUACAUACAUAAACAUAUGUGCAUCUGUCAAUGGCAUCCAAACAAACUUCUUUGCACUGUAAUAAUUAUAUGUUUUAUUGGAAUGAUGGUUAUAAUCGUAAUAUUUGCAAGUUUCAAAUUUUCUUGAAACUUCGAAGAACUCGUAAAAAUGUUUCCACAUAUGAUCAGUUGAGCGUUGUAGGUUGAUCCCGAGCCAAAGGAUGUAUAAAAUAACACUAUAUACAAAACGGAAGUGACAAAAAUAUCAUGAUAUUCAAAAAAGUAAAAAAUAAAGAAUAAAUAUAAAAAUAAAAA